CUCGGACAUGAGCGUCUCGAUGGAGGCGUCGGGCGGCAGGUCGGAGAGGUCGACGGGCGGGAGGGAGAGCGAGGAGAUGGGCGGCGGGAGGGAGGCGAGGAAGCCCCGCUGCGUGGCGGACGCCGUGGAGGCGAAGGUGAUGAGCGUGGCCGUGGCGCCGUGCCGCGCGGCCAGGCGCUUCGCCAGCUCGGCCAGCGGGAUCAGGUGGCCCAUCCCGGGCGUCGACAGCAUCGCCACGUGCGGUGGCCGGCCGGCCUCCGCCGUGCCGCCGGAGAUGCCG
rnacentral:lncRNA from 1 species